UGCCACGGCCUUAUCAACCUAUAGCCAAAGACCGGUUACUUACUGAAGCUAAGCAAGGCUGAGCCUGGUCAGUACCUGGAUAAGAGACCACACGGGAAAACUAGGUUGCUAUUCGAA
rnacentral:rRNA from 1 species